CAUUACAAUAAAUAUGCCUCGACAAUAGUGAUCUGAGGCUGGUUUGUCAACCGAUCAAGCGGUGUUCAGAUCAACCCUGAAAUUUGUAUAAUGUAUACCAUAUCUAACAAAAAUGAAAUGGCAAAAAUUCCCGACUUAGAUCAUAAUGAUGACAUUUACGAGAGGGACUUGGUGACCUCGGACUCGAAAUCUGAUGCCUCGAAUUGUGGAUAUUUCAAUCUAUCGGUGCUUUUAAUUAAUUUCAUAAAAAUUAAAUAACGAUUAAAUAGUUAUUAAACUAUAACCUAAUUUAAAGAUUAGCUUAUAGAAAGCUACUCUGAAAGCGAUGAUAGCUACGAUCGGGAUGGGGAUUCUCUGUAAUCUAAACCAUAUUUGAAACACCUCAAUCUAUAAAAAAAUACAAUGGGGGGAAAUUAAAUAAAGCAUGUGCCUACAGGACUUAAAUGAAGCUGCCCGAGUGUUGAAAGAUUUUUCUCUUUGCACACUUUCAUAGAUCCGAUUGGCACUCCAAUGAUGCAAGAGGCUUCCUUCCGUUCCCGAUUGUUUAAGGCACUGGCAAGGCAAGAGUUGGAAAAGUUAGUCCUAGAGAAACGAAAUAAGCAAUAAUAUAUCAUUAUAUUUGAUGUAAUUAUACUUACAUUUGAGGUAGGAGUCACUUGAGUAGGUUAGAGUCACAACUCGGAAAAAAAACCGCAAAGUAAGUACAAGUAUUACCCAAAGUGUGACGUGUGAAGUGAUUUAAACAGUAUUGCUAUGA